ACUUUUACCACAAGUGGCUGUAAAGGAAUGGGACCAAUAGUGUCAUGGACACUGCUGGAGCAGCCUGCUCCUCCUAGCCCCACCCCCUCUGCUCUCUCCUAAUCACACACACCUGCAACCUGUUGGUAAUCACUCCCUGGUAUAUAAGCCAGCCAGUACCUUUGCUGGUUGCCAGAUUGUUAUGUGUGCUCCUGCCUGUUUGUGUUUUGGCCUGCUGUGUGUUCUUUUGUCUCCUUGGAAAUUCGCCCACUGCCUGUUGACCUGUUUUUUGGAUUUGCCUGCCGUGAGUAAAUCCACUUUCUUCCUUAAAUCUGCUCUUGGGUCCUUCCUGAACUGUGACAGUACAGUAGUAUCUGGCCACCAUUAUGGAUCCAGCAGAAUUUCAACACCUCUGUGCAGUAGUGGAUAAGCAAGGCUCUGCCCUCAACUCCCACCAGCAGGAGAUGGCCCAGGUAAGUCAGCACCUGCAGACACUUUCUAAUAUUGUCAAUCUUCUGUUAGCUCAACCACAGCAGGCUCAGGCAGCAGCUCCACCCAGUGCAGCUACUACUUCCUCCUCCACAACAUCACCAGGCCUUCCCACGCACCCCAGCGCUGAACCACGCCUGCCUCCUCCCAGUCGUUACAGUGGUGAACCCGGCUUAUGCCGUUCCUUUUUUGUCACAAUGCUCACUGAUUUUUGAACUGCAACCUUCCACCUUCCCCUCUGAUCGCUCCCGUGUUGCAUACAUCGUCACUCUCCUGGAGGGCAGAGCAAGGGAGUGGGGAACAUCUAUGUGGGAGGCCAAUUCUCCUGUUUGUGCCUCACUGAUAAGUUUCACACAGGAAAUGAGAAAGGUGUUUGACCGAUCUGUCAGUGGGAGAGAGGCUGCACGGGUCUUGCUACAAGCACAUCAAGGAAUGAGGUCAGUCUCUGAUUACGCUAUUGAUUUCCGCACAUUGGCUGCUAAUUGUUCCUGGAAUGUGGAUGCCCUGUUUGAUGCCUUUUCUUAAUGGACUUUCUGAGACUAUUAAGGAUGAGCUAGCCACCUGUGAAUUACCAGCUACGCUAGACUCAUUGAUUGACCUAGCCAUCCAAAUGGAUACCAGGCUAUCUCAGAGGCAUAAGGAGAGGCUAGCCAGGUGCCCUCAGUUUUCUCCUCACAGGUCACCAGCCGCAGAGUCGUCACCAAAUCCUUCAGACCCUGAGCCCAUGCAGCUGGAUAGGACCUAGUUGGCCCCGGCAGAGAGACAACGCCGGCUGGUCACAGGUUCCUGUCUCUACUGUGGUCAACCUGGACACUACAUUGCCUCCUGCCCUUUAAAAGCCAAUGCUCGCCAGUAGGACGGGAGUUACUGGUGAGUGUUUUCCCUUUUUCUAAAUCUCCUGUUAAACGUUCUUUGCUAACUGCCACCCUCCAGUGGAGAGACCAGCAAAUGGAGGUUGCUGUGCUGGUGGAUUCCGGUGCCGAUGAAAGUAUGAUUUGAUACAGCACUGGUCAGACAGCUUAGCAUUCCCACCAAGGAGCUACCUGAAACCUUGCAGGCUAGUGCUCUCAACGGCAAGCCCCUUGCCAAGGUUAAUUACGUCACUGAACCUGUUUCUCUCCUGAUCUCUGGCAAUCACUGUGAAAAGAUUCCCUUGCACCUUAUUGACUCUCCUCAGGUCCCUAUAAUAUUGGGAUAUCCCUGGCUGGUUAAACAUAACCCCACUAUUGACUGGGCUAGCAACACCAUUUUGGGCUGGAGCACUCAAUGUAUGUCAGUGUCUUUCCUCAGCCUUGACACCAGGUGGUGUCUCUCAUCCGCUGGAGGAUUUUACAGACCUUUCUGGGGUGCCUGAGGAAUAUAUGGACCUAAAACCUGUGUUCAGCAAGUCACGUGCCACGUCUCUUCCUCCGCACCAUCCUUACGACUGUGCGAUUGAUCUUUUGCCUGGAACCUCGCCACCCAAGGGUAGGCUCUACUCUCUGUCCCUGAAAUUGAGGCCAUGAACAAGUACAUUCAUGAAGCUCUGUCUGCCGGCAUUAUCCGGCCAUCCUCUCCAGCAGGCGCAGGCUUCUUCUUCGUGGAGAAGAAGGAUCUUUCACUCAGGCCUUGUAUUGACUACCGGGGUGUUAAUGACAUUACCGUUAAGAACCGCUAUCCACUGCCACUAAUGUCUUCUGCUUUUGAGAACUUGCAGGGAGCAACUAUCUUCUCGAAACUGGAUCUCCGCAAUGCAUACCACCUUGUGCGUAUUCGAGAAGGAGAUGAGUGGAUGACGGCUUUUAAUACACCCAGUGGACACUACGAGUACUCGGUAAUGCCGUUCGGGUUAACUAUUGCCCCUGCAUUCUUCCAAGCCCUUGUCAAUGAUGUGUUGCGGGAUAUGGUCAAUAAGUUUGUCUAUGUAUACCUGGAUGACAUUCUGAUAUUCUCUAAGUCACUGCAGGAGCAUGUACAGCAUGUGAGGAAGGUCCUGCAACGGCUACUAGAGAAUCAACUGUUUGUGAAGGCCGAAAAAUGUGACUUUCAUCGUGACAGUGUCUUUUUUGGGCUUUAAGGUAUCAGGUCGGAGGUUGGAGAUAGACUCUGCAAAGGUCAAAGCAGUGCUGGAUUGGCCUCAACCCACUACUCGGAGGGAGCUACAAAGGUUCCUGGGGUUUUCGAACUUCUAUAGGAGGUUCAUUCGCAGCUACAGCUCCAUAGCUGCCCCACUAACUGCUCUUACCACUUCUAAGGUUUCAUUUUCCUGGUAGGCUGCUGCAGAGGGGGCUUUCAGGACACUGAAGGAAGCCUUCACCUCAGCUCCCAUCCUUGUCACCCCUGAUUCUGAGCUCCAAUUUGUGGUUGAGGUGUAUGCUUCCGAUGUGGGAGUUGGGGCUAUCCUCUCUCAGCGGUCCCCUAAGGAUAAGUUGCAUCCCUGUGCCUUUUUCUCAUCGUCUGUCUUCCACAGAAAGGAACUAUGGCACUGUAAACCAGGAGCUGUUGGCUGUAAAGAUGGCAUUGGAGGAGUGGAGACACUGGUUGGGGGGAGCAAGGACUCCGUUCUUGGUUUGGACUGACCAUAAGAAUCUUGAAUAAAUCGAGACAGCGAAGCGUCUCAAGGCAAGCAAGGUGGGCACUUUUUUUUCUCCCGUCUCAACUUCACUCUCUCAUCGCCCUGAUUCCAGAAACGUGAAGCCAGAUGCCUUGUCACGGCAGUUUUCCAAAGAAGCUGAAUCCUCUGACCCCGGAACCAUCCUGCCUAGCCAUUGUAUCCUUGCUACUGCCCAGUUUCGUGUUGAGCAAGGGGUACUGGAGGCCCUCCGUCAGCAUCCAUCUCCAGGUAAUGAACCUAGGGGAAAGUUAUUUGUCCCUGUGUCUGCUCGCUCCCUGGUUCUCCAGUGGGCUCAUGCCUCCAGACUCUCCUGCCACCCAGGGGUCCAACGCACUUUGGCUAGUCUCCGCCAGAGAUUUUGGUGGCCUCACAUGCAGAAAAAGGUUGAGUAUGUGGCCGCCUGUCCCAACUGUGCCCAGGGGAAGCCAGCCAACUGCCCUCCGGCGGGAUUACUACAUCCACUGCCAAUUCCAAGUCGCCCCUGGUCUCACAUAGGCCUGGAUUUCAUCACUGGUCUCCCAGCCUCCGAUGGAACACUGUGGUCCUUACAGUUGAUAGAUUCUCUAAGUCUGUGCAUUACAUUCCUUUGCCUAAACUGCCAUCCGCUAAAGAGACUGCUCAGCUCCUCAUACAACAUGUUUUUAGGAUACACGGCCUACCUACUUCUGUAGUGUCUGACAGAGGCCCUCAAUUAACCUCAUUUUUGGAAAGCUUUCUGUACCUCCCAUAGGUGCAACAGUUCAGCUGUCUUCAGGCUUCCAUCCACAGACCAACGGCCAGACUGAAAGGGCCAAUCGGCACCUGGAGACUGCCCUCCGUUGCAUGGUUAGCCAGAACCCAACCUCCUGGAGCCAGCUCCUUCCAUGGUUGCCAAGUACCCUUCAGAGAAUCCACCCCACAUUCCACGUCUCCUGCAUCAAACCAGCACACUCCUCCCGCCCGCCAAACCUCCUCCUCGGCUCAUCGAUGGUGUGGAGGUCUUCACUGUCAGGAAGCUUGUGAGGUCUCAUCGCCGGGGGAGGGGCAUGCAGUAUCUCGUGGACUGGGAGGGCUAUGGCACUGAGGAAAGGUCUUGGGUACCUGCCAGUGACAUUUUUGACCUUGCUCUCAUCCGGAAGUUCCAUCGUCUGCACCCAGACCAGCCCUGUAGGACGCCUGGUGGUGUCCGUGGAGGGGGGGGGUACUGUCAUGGACACUGCUGGAGCAGCCUGCUCCUCCUAGCCCCACCCCCUCUGCUCUCUCCUAAUCACACACACCUGCAACCUGUUGGUAAUCACUCCCUGGUAUAUAAGCCAGCCAGUACCUUUGCUGGUUGCCAGAUUGUUAUGUGUGCUCCUGCCUGUUUGUGUUUUGGCCUGCUGUGUGUUCUUUUGUCUCCUUGGAAAUUUGACCACUGCCUGUUGGCCUGUUUUUUUGGAUUUGCUUGCUGUGAAUAAAUCCACUUUCUUCCUGAAA